rnacentral:tRNA from 1 species
AGAGGCAUAGCUCAACUGGUAGAGCACAAGAUUUUGAUUCUUGUGGCUGAAGGUUCAAGUCCUUCUGCCUCUUCCA